ACUCAAAUGAAUUGACGGGGACCCGCACAAGCGGUGGAGCGUGUGGUUUAAUUCGACGCUAAGCGAAGAACCUUAUCCAAGGUUUGACAUCUACCUGCACGCCCUAGGAAACUAGGGCUUCCUUCGAGGGUGGUAGACAGGUGCUGCAUGGCCGUCGUCAGCUCGUGUCGUGAGAUGUUGGGUUAAGUCCCGCAACGAGCGCAACCCUUGUCGUAUGUUGGAUUUUUCAUACGAGACUGCCUGGGUUAACCAGGAGGAAGGUGAGGAUGACGUCAGGUCCGCAUGGCCCUUAUGCCUUGGGCUACACACGCGCUACAAUGGCCGGCUCAAUGGGUCGCGAAAUCGCGAGAUGGAGCUAAUCCCACUCAAAGCCGGUCCCAGUUCGGAUUGGAGUCUGCAACUCGACUCCAUGAAGCCGGAAUCGCUAGUAAACGCGGAUCAGCACGCCGCGUUGAAUACGUUCUCGGGUCUUGUACACACCGCCCGU
rnacentral:rRNA from 1 species